CUGUCCUUUCCUCUGAUGUGCAGGGAACACUUUUACCAUAUAGGUCACAGAGAAAUGCAUAUUCCUUGAUUGCUAAUGAUGGGAUCGAUUAUAAGGGGUUGAUUUUGUGCCUUGUUUUGGAAUUUUCCCCCGACUUUGUGGAUAAUCUGCGAUUGAAACAGGGUCAGUUUCUAAUCUUGGAUUUUCACAUUUCUGCUUCUAUCCGCCAAAAAGAUAAAACAACCAGGUGUCUCCAUACGCUGAGAAUUGAGGACGUCAGGGUUACGAGUCAUCAACAUAUAAUCAUCAUUCACCGUUUUAAAGGCUUUGAAUGGUUUGGGAUUCCGUUGAGAGGAAAAGAUUCUAUUGAAAAUUUAUCUAUUCAUAAACCUGAGUUACAUAUCUUUCCUAAAUGGAAUUACAAAUCGUUUAGAUACUACUCUUAUCCUAUAGUCAAGUUGGGGGAGAUCUUGUUCGAGAACAGGGAUCCUGACCAGCAAAAGCAUAAUGAUCAACAUUCAAUUGGUAUGAUGGUAGCAGAUUUCUUCAAUUGCUCAUAUGUUGAGGAUGAUGGUCGAGUGUCUUCUCUUAAAUCGAGCUCGUCAUGUGCACAAGUGGAGUCUGAAGGAGCAAAUUUUGUAAAUAGACAAGAGGAGGAGGAGGGAGUGUUGAUGAGUGCUAGUAACUACGAAGGACCUCAUCUUGAUGAUAAGGACGAGGAGGCAUCAUGUGUAGUAGCGACAUCAAAAGAAAAGGGUACAACAUCUUCCUCUGAUGAUACUGAAGAAGAAGAGGAGAGGAAUAACUCAAAAGAAGAUUGGUCCUAUGUCAGCGAUGAUGGAACAUGUCCAGGAACAGAGUCUGAAGGAUCAAAUUAUGUUCCUAAAAAAGAGGAGGGGAAAAAGGAAGUGUUGAUAAGGGCUAGUAACUACAAGGGAGCUUGUCAUGAUGAUGAGGACGGUAAGGCAUCAUAUGUAGUGACAUUAAAGGAAAAGAGGAAACAUCUCCCUCUGACAAUACGGAAGAAGAGGAGAAUAAUAAGAUUUCUUGAGUUGUUUAGAACUCGACUCUGUUUCUUAAAGUAGUGGGGGAAGUAGAUGAGAUGCUGGGGCCGAGGAAGAAAGCUCGUCUACAUUACAACAAUGAUGAGGCAUCAGGCAUUUUGGGAAUUGGGAAGUAUCCUCCCCCCCUUCCUCUUUGAUGGAUACAUUGCGAAGUAUCCUUCAGGAAUAAAUGUUUCGUACUAGCUUCCAUUUUGGGGAAUCAAUUCUGAACUCUUUGUUACUCGAACAUUGCAAUUUUAUCUGGAGUCCAUAAUCUGGUUGUCUGUUUCUUGAAGAGGCUAUGCAGAAAAGAUGAUGACAUAAAUGUGGGUGUAGCUGGAUUUUGCACAGGCAUUGCUUAAGUUUUCCAGGAGCACCACAGGCCCUUCUUCAGAGUUGCCUCACCUUUGGGGUCUUCUCUUUUAUUAUCAAAGGGCUGAAUAAGCACCAAUCGGCACUGGCAAAUCCACUCUCAAUGAGCAAGAGUAGCUACACACACAAUGUUCUUCCUCCCUUUAUGCUCCUGUUGCCCAGUGAUAUAAGAGAAGGCUUCUUUUAAUUUUGGAAAUCCUUAAAACAAGCCAAGAAGGGUGCAUCCACCAGCUAGAAAUUUCGGAUGUUCGCCUUUUCCGGGGGCAAAAGAAUCUCAGGUGUGCCUUGAUGAACAUCUCUCUAGACAUUUUUUGAAGUGGUUGUACCAUCUACACUUUCAUCGGUUGGAUUGGGAGGCUGAAGCCUGCAGGUAUUUAUGCCAACACAUUGACAAUGGGGAUUGAGUUCAGCCCUAUCCAACAGUUUAAAAACUUGAUCGCACGAUGCUCAUCUAUGAUAUGAAAUGUUGCCCUUUUUAAAUUGAGUGGGGAAUGUGGAACAUUAUUGUAGCUUGUAAGCUGAAUAAUGAAAAUUGGCUUUUUCUUUCAUUGUA